AACAAUUACAUGAUUUGAGUUCAGACCGGUAUAAGCCAGGUCGGUUUCCAUCUUUUUAAAAUAUUUUUGUAGUACGAAAGGACCUAAAAAUUAAAUAUAAUUUUAUUAUGUGGCAGAUAAAUGCAUUAGAAUUAGAAUCUAAUAAUCUAAAUAUUUUUUAAUUAAUUACAUUUUA
rnacentral:rRNA from 1 species